AACAGUGCGUGGCAUGGUAAACCCCACUCGGAGCAAGACCAAAUAGGGACCCAACGGCGUGGCCCGCGCUGGGUCCGGGUAGGUUGCUUGAGCGCUGCGGUGACGCAGCGCCUAGAGGAAUGACUGUCCACGACAGAACCCGGCUUAUCG
rnacentral:RNase_P_RNA from 1 species